CAUCCUGGGUAGGCGAAACCAUUUUUCAAUUCAUGGGGGAGACAACUGUAGUAUACCGAUCCAUUAAACGAUUUAGCACCACAACAUGUACUAUUCAAGAAAACGCAUUUUAGAUUAUACGGGUAAAAGGUCGUAUCCGUAAACAGACUAAGCUCAGAGAUGGUCGUUCUUGUUUAAAUUUCAAAUUAACAUAACCCGGUCAGUGUUGGCUAAUGGUCUCGUCUAGAACAACCUUUGCAUCAACCAGGCGACCGUGCGGAGAGCGUAAGGGAGAAAGGAGAAGAGGAGUCAGCAGGCACUAGAUGAAAAUGGCGGAGACCGUACGCUCGUUAUUUGACUACCGAGAGCCACCAACACUGGACAGCGAUGGAGAGGGCAGCAAACCGCAACCUCCGCGAGGACGUGGCUGUGGAAGGAAGCGGAAAGGGACCCCAGUGAAAGUGUGCGAUCGUGUUUUUGCCACAGAGGAUGACGAAGAAAGCACCUCAGAGCACAGCUAUUGCCCAGGUGAAGGUCAGUACCAGGGGGGAGAGGGGGGCAGGCACAAACUCCCUGCUCCAGAAGGCCCAUACUACAUAGCAGACUCUACACAGCUCUGUGUGUCUGAGCAGGGAGAGGAGGGGGACAGCGGUGCGCGGGGGCCCAUUCUCUACCCCCCCACCCCAAACUGCCGCAUCCGUGAGGUGCAUUGUGGGAAUCAAGUGCGGCUGGUCGUCAUAGCAAUCCGCGACAUCACUAAGGGAGAGGAGAUAACGGUAGACUACAGUCUGACUGAAUGGGGCGAGAACGCAAUGGGUUUCCAUGGCACUGUGCCUCCGGCCGGUUUUGAGUGUAACUCUGACCCUGAAAAUGGUAUCAAGAAGGAGGAUGAAGCAGGGCAGGUGCCCGUCUCCGUCUCUGAAUACAUCACACCAUCCUGGUCCCUCUCUCCGUCCUCGUCCCCGCUGUCCCACUCUGACGGCAGUGACUCUGACUGUGAGGAAGAGGAGGAUGAGGAAGAGGAGGACGUUGAUGGUUCUGGCCAGAGGGGUCGCGCCCAGCAUCGGCAAAAGAAGCGCAGGCACCCCUCCCUGGCCCUGGCCUCCGGCUCCAUCUGCCCCGGCUCUGCCAAGAAGAAGCCCCCCCAGCAGCGUCCCCCAGGCCACCCUCCCGGCUGCUCUUCCUCUGCCUCCUCCAUCCCUCGCUCGCUGCCAUCCUCUCCGCCGCAGCAUCCUCACCCAACGCGCCCGCUCUUCAAGUGCCCGGCGCCGGCCGUGGGCGCCAGUAGCAGCCACGGCGGCGUGCACCUGCGCAUCCCCAUGCCCUACAAGCAGUGCUGCGUGUACUGCGGCCGUCACUUCCGCUCGCUGCAGCGCCACUUGGACAAGCACCACGCCCACCAGCCGGACGUGAGGGCUGCCCUGGAGCGCGCCCACACACAGCCACACCCGUCAGCCCACCCCCCACACCUCCACGCCUCCCUGCCUUCCUCCUCCUCCUCCUCCUCCUUGCACCUCAGAGACGGCUCUGCCCCCGGGGGAGGAGCAGCUGCCUUGGUGCUCCCGUCAGCCCCGCCCAGACACGCCCCUUCUCCGAACUCCAGGAGGAGCCCCGCCUUGUCCCCAGGCCCCCGUAAGAGCCCCGCCCCCAUAGCUACAACGCCACCCAGAAGGGGUGGGGUCCCUGUGUCUGUGCUGAAGAGGAGCCCGCCCACACAGGUGGUGAACCCGCCCAGGAAGGUGGGGCGUAAAGUGAAAAAGGAGAGAGAGGAGGAGGUGGAGGAAGCCGAGAGGAGGCCCAAAGAGGAGGAGGUGCCCACCCCCAUCUACAUGGAGCACAAAGAGGUGCUGGAGCUGCAGCAGCAGGUCUCUCAUCCACAUCUACCCCCAGCUAUUACUCCAGACGAGGAGGAUGACGACAACUGCAUGGGCGACUACGACAGUGGAGCUGAUGAUAAGAAGGACAUAAUUAGUUCUCGGCGGCCCCACAUCAUGCCUCUGCUCUCGUCGCUGUCGUCUCUGGUGCUGUACCUGCGUCGGCUGCAGCACUCGGCCUUCAUCUCUCUGUCGCGCUCCCCACAGUCCGCCGAGGCCUGGCGCCUGCUGUGCCACUCCAGCCUGGCACUGCUCAUCCUCUACAACCGCCGGCGCGAGUGUGAGGUCUCCAAGCUCACCAUAACCGAGUACCACGCCCGCAUCACCCCGCAGUGCCCGAUCCCGGUGCCCCCGGGUGCCCCGCCGGCCCUCACCCCGCUGGAGGCCUCGCUGUCGCCCUUCGAGCGCCUGGUGCUGCCCCACCUGCCGCGUGUAGGAGUGCAGGGGAAGCGCGGCCGCGUGCAGCCUCUCAUCCUGCCGCCGCACUCCGAGGCGUGCCUGGACAUGCUCCUGCAGACGCGGCCCGGCGUCGGCGUGGACCCGCUCAACCCGUACGUCUUCGCCCGGCCGUACCACUCGCCUGCCACGCCGCUGCGGGGCACAGACCUGCUGCGCAGCCUGGCGCGCUCCAGCGGCACGCGCAACCCCCGCGCCCUCACGCAGACCCGCGUGCGCCGGCAGGUUGCCAUCCUUACGCAGCUGCUGCUGCUCAGCGAAGGCGAGGAGGAGGCACAGAGGGGCACCUCCGUCCAGCGCCUGGAAAACUUCCUGCAGAGGGAAUACCACGUGACUCAAAGCUGUGCCGGGAUUGGCCAGGACCCGGGCCUGAUGGGGCUGAUCGGGCGCGUGGUGCUGUGCGGCGAGAGAGACGGAGUGCUCUUCAGAGGGAUGAGCCUGCACCACAUCUGCCUCGAGCUGGAUGUGAUGUCAGGGAACUCUGGGGACUCCUUUUCAGAGGAGUCGGAUGGAGAGCAGGGGAAGGAGAAGAUGGUGUCGGUGACCCCGGCAGCCAUGAUUAUGAUGAAGAAGGGCUCAGCCAACGGCAAGUCCCCGCGGCCUAAGAAGAUGAACGGAGCAUCGCCGUUCUCCCCCGGUCGCAAGAGAGGCUCGGGUCAGCCCAAACCAGGGAAGCGCGGCGUGCUGAAGCGACCCUGGUCAGAAGCAGAGCGGACGGCCGUGGAGUCCCACCUGACGCGGAACAUCGCCGAGCUGCGCGUGCCCGCCAAGGCCGACUGCGAGCGCUGCCUGCAGCUCUGCCCCCUGCUGGUCAGCAACCGGCGGGACUGGAGGGCCAUCAAGUUCUACUGCCACAACCGCAUCCAGCUGCUCAAGAAGACCCGGCAGAGAGAGGGCAACAGCUCUGACCCCCUGCCUAUCUGUUGAGGGAGAGGGGUGGAUAGAGAGAGAGAGAGAGAGAGAGAGAGAGAGAGAGAGAGAGAGAGAGAGAGAGAAAGAAAGGAAGAAAGAAAGAAAAUCCUAAAGAGCAAGGGAGGAGAAACAUACAGAUGGAUGAGGAGAGAGUUGUAUGGGCUGUCUGAAAAAACACUUUUCCCCCCCACAUAAUGGGUAGUUUAAGUGGCCAAAGAUUCCACCUCCAUUUUGGUACUUGUACGGUACAUGAAAUGGUAUUUUAGGGUCUCAGAGUUACACUGAGACUGCUCUGGACUUGGUGUCCAAUCAGAAUGCUGACAGUUACGAUACAAGAAAAGAAAAGUGACGCUUUGUGCUACAUGUUUUUACUAAAGACCUCCUAAUAUGUUGCUUUUUGAGUCUUGCGUAGAGGAAUUUAACGGAGGCAGUAGCUGCUCUCUUGACUUUGUUGUAGAUGUUUGUUCAAGUCGUGCUGCUCCUGGUAUUUUGGAGUGUUAACUGGGAGAAUCUGGUCUGACACAUGCCUCUGACGCAGAGACCAAAGGACUCAGUCACAGGCAUACUCUCGGUGUGAACUGCUGACCGUUUUUUUUCUUUUCACAAUGAACCGCCGUGAGAAGAUGAAGGAUGGAGAUGAGGAGAAGGAGCUAAAGGAUGAAUGUUGACCACUUCUGAGAUGAACCACAGAAAGACACUUCUUAUCAAUCACUCACUCUUCUUUGGAGUGCCUGGGCAGACCAAAGGUUUGCCACAUGGCUUUAGAAAUGUUAUGUGUCACCAAGUGUAUGUAUACUGCAGAUCGAUCUUUGCGUUCUUAUCAUUUUAUGUAAUAUUUUUUUUCCAAGUGGCCAGUGUAGCUUAUAUAUAACUCUUGUGGACAGCUACUCCCUGUGGUGUACAAAUGGAUGUGCUAGUGGACAUAUUGCUGAACUUUAAGCCCUAAGGGCCCUCAAGACCAUGAGGUCAUCACAAGGUCACAAUCACUUCACCCAUAUCGAACACUUAACCCAAGCUACACACCUCAGCCUCAGAUACUUGAAGUAAUUUUACAGUUCAUGCCUUCUGUUACCAUACACGGUUUUCAGUCCUUCUGCUAGUUGCAUUGUAUAUAUAGAUAUACUAUUAUUAUUAUUAUUAUUGCUAUAUCACCAUAAUUAUUACUAUUUAAGCUGGUUGUGUUUUUUAUGGAAAUAUCUCUCCAUUAAGCUGUACGUGUACAUAAAGUUUUGUAAAUACUACAGACAUGAAAAGACGACAAGGAUGAAACACACUGUACAGACAUACGCUUCGAUUAUUUGUGUUCAAUGGUGUUUUCUUUUUUACUGGUCUGUAAUAAAAGUGAUUUUGUUUUUGCA
rnacentral:lncRNA from 1 species